rnacentral:rRNA from 1 species
GACGAACGCUGGCGGCGUGCCUAAUACAUGCAAGUCGAACGCAGUGGGGACGGGUGAGUAACACCUGGGUAACCUCCCAUCAGAGGGGAUAAAACUUGGCAACAGGUGCUAAACCGCUACUGAAGGAUGGACCCGGGGUGCUUUAGCUAGUUGGUGAGGUAACGGCUCACCAAGGCCACGAUGCAUAGCCGGCCUGAGAGGGUGAUCGGCCACACUGGGACUGAGACACGGCCCAGACUCCUACGGGAGGCAGCAGUGGGGAAUCUUCGGCAAUGGACGAAAGCCUGACCGAGCAAUGCCGCGUGAGUGAAGAAGGUUUUCGGAUCGUAAAACUCUUUUGUUAGAGAAGCGGUAUCUAACCAGAAAGCCACGGCUAACUACGUGCCAGCCGCCGCGGUAAUUC